rnacentral:lncRNA from 1 species
GCUGAAAGAAUCAUUUUUCUUGCUCGGAUUGAUUUCAUCGUCAUCGUCAACUACAUAUACAACGUGACCGGAAGGAACAAACCUCUUCCUCUCACGCUCAAUGUAUGGGGCGGGCAUAUGUAUAAGCGUGCGCGAGAGGAAGAGGUUUUAAACGUAAACCAGAAGAAGAAUAAGAAGAAGAAGAAAGAAGAAAGAAACCUGUUUAUCCUCUAACUGCAGCUAAUCCUAAAACCACACCAACUGAUUGACCGAAUCAUCAUCAUCAUCGUCGUCAUCAUCCUUCUUUUUUUCACGGGUUAUUGACAUCAUCGUCGGCGGCUUAUUCAUACCCCGUUUCCUUCCUCGAAGGUGACCCGGAGCUGCACGGGCCACGGCCGGUGCUGCGACGGCGCGCUCGCCAGCCCCUGCAGCAUCUUGAUCACGUCCACCGUGUCGUCCAGGUAGUACUUGGCCAUGCUCGGCUUCUUCCCCACGGUGCACGCAAACACCUCGCUCGUCGCCGGGAGCUUCACGCUGCCGUUGGCCGGGCACACGAUGCUCUCGAACAUGUCCUCGUCGGACCGGUCGUCCCCGAUGCAGAGCACGAAGUCGGGGGCCUUGCCGCCGCGCACCAUGGACGACAGGAGGCUCUCCACCACCACGCCCUUGCUGAUGCCCUGCACGACCACGACGGAGAGGAGAGAUAUUUCAUCCAUGUCAAAACAAGACAACGAUACACAGAUGGUGGUGGUGCCGGCAAGUGAUACACAGAUGCUGCUACUUUCUAAAAUAAAAUCAAAUAGCGCCACGCAAGUUGCUCUCCUCCAAAUCCAAACCCAGUGGGGACAAAACGGGCGUUUCUUCCACGAAUUCCCCUGUCCACGCCGGCGAAAUGGCCCACCCGCCGAUCCAACAAAUCCGUGUCGUGGAGAGGAUAUAGAUUGUUCCGGGGGGGCAAUCAAGCAUGUGGCGGUGUGGUCUGGUGGAUGAGGACUGGAUCGGAUUGGAUUGGAUCAGAUCUGAUCGGAUCAAUCCUUAUCCGUUGCCUUUAGUUGGACAGCUACGUUUGGUUGUUUAGCUGUUGUUCAACAUGUUUUAUAGUGGUGCCAAGUCUACGACCCCGAUUAAUUAUUUUUCCAUUUGACCGACUAGCAGCAGCCCAAUUGAUCAACUCUAAAUAAAACUGUAGAACAACAGUUUGCACGCGCAUUACCUGGGGGUUAACCUCCACGAUGUGCUGGCCCCUCUUCACCACGACCGGCUCGUUGGCGAGCACGCUCUCGAGAUGGUCGAGCAGCUCCUUCGCCUGGCACGAACCGAAGUCCGGAUCGGCCUCGUCGUGGUGCCACACCAGCGCGCUCUCCUUGUGCUCGAUGUACGAUCCGUCGGUGGCCUCCGUGUACAGUCUCAUCACCGGCUCGGCGGUCUUCUUCCAGUCGAAGUCCGCCACCAGCCCGCAGGUCUCCCAUGGCGAUUCCUUGCUCCACCUGCAAUGAAGAAUUGGCCAGGGUUAUAUCAAUGGACGUCACUAUUCUGCAACCACAAACAAAAGAUUUGAAUGCUCUCUUCUAACUAAAGCCUAAAGGGAUACUGGAACAGUAACCGUCUAUGCUUAGGUUCAUGGGCGAAAUCAAUCACUUCUCACCCUCCAGAACCGUAACCUCCCAAGGUUGUUCCGGAAGCAAGAAUGUCGACGGUUCGAGGCUGGUUUCGGAGGAGCUAUGCUCUAGCUGUGAAUCUAGACCGGUUGGUUGCUACUCAUUUUUAUGCAUCUUGAAAAUGUUUUCUUGGAUGACACUGUUUGUUGUGCUACUUUGCUUAAUUCGCAUGCUUUCCUACGGAUUUUAUCCAAACCAUCAAAAGCGGUCAACAAGGAUCCGGAGCAAAGCAACACCGUACCAACUAGCAGUACAUCUUUACCGACAAGUGUCUAGAGAUCUCACCUAGUGAAGUAGCCGUGCUCUGCAGCAAUCCCCAGCUUCUCACAUGGCGCGAACCACUUGCUCAGCUCAUCCUUCCCCCGACCGCUCACGAUGAACACCCUGUUCUUCGGGUCUUCGCACAGACGAUUCAAGACGGAGAUGACCUCACUGCUCGGCGCCUUGUCGAUGGAGCUCUCCGGCAUCACGGUCCCAUCGUAGUCCAGGAGAAUCAGCCGGUUCUCCGUCUUUCUGAACGACGGCACAAUGUGCUCGACGGAAAGCCGCCUGAAAUUUGGGCCGAGCGCCACCACCUUGAAGCUCAUCCCGAAACCAAUCCCCCAAUGCCGGCGCGAGAAAUGGUCCUUGCAGGCUCGCUGCAGGUCCUGGUCGAACGAGCGCGCCCAGUAGGCCACAUCAUGGGUGCUCACAUACUUGUAAUGCUUCUCGUGCCGCAGCCGCUGCUCGCCGUCGGACAUCCUCAAUGCCGAGCUCAUGGCCUCGGCGACGGACUCCACGCUCCAUGGGUUCACCCGGAUCGCCCCGCUGAGCGACGGCGAGCAUCCCACGAACUCAGACAGCACGAUGACGCUCCGCUUAGGGGCGUCCCCCAGGGCGGUGCUCUCCUGCCGGCACACCGUGUAGAUGUACGGAAUCCGGUUGAGCCCGUCGCGGACGGCGCUCACCACGCAGCACUCGGCGGCGGCGUAGUAGGCCGCCUUCUCGUGCUCCGACACCGGGCGGCUGAUCAUCACGAUCGGGGUGUACCCGGGGCUGCCGAAGCGCUCGUUGACCCGGGCGCUGAUGGCUCUGGCCUCGUCCUGCACCUCCUGCACGUCCCGGCCCUCGCUGCGCGCCGGAUUGGUGAUCUGCACGAGCACGGCCUUGCCGCGGAGCUCAGGGUUCUCCACCAGGAGCUGCUCCAUCCCCAGGAACUUGAGCCCGAUCCCCUUGAAGAGGUCGACGUCGUCC